rnacentral:rRNA from 1 species
GCCUUUCCCAAUGUACGAAGUCUAGACGGAGCACGCCGCGUGAGUGAUGAAGGCUUUCGGGUCGUAAAACUCUGUUGUUAGGGAAGAACAAGUGCUAGUUGAAUAAGCUGGCACCUUGACGGUACCUAACCAGAAAGCCACGGCUAACUACGUGCCAGCAGCCGCGGUAAUACGUAGGUGGCAAGCGUUAUCCGGAAUUAUUGGGCGUAAAGCGCGCGCAGGUGGUUUCUUAAGUCUGAUGUGAAAGCCCACGGCUCAACCGUGGAGGGUCAUUGGAAACUGGGAGACUUGAGUGCAGAAGAGGAAAGUGGAAUUCCAUGUGUACCGGUGAAAUGCGUAAAGAUAUGGAGGAACACCAGUGUCC